AAAAGAAACGAAAGGACAAAAAAAAAAAAAAUUGGGUCUUCUUCUCUACUCCUCUUCGACUUUGGAUUCACAGCUAAACAAAUACGAUUCCAGCUGAAUCUAAAUCGAUAUUCCCUUUUUCAUAUAACCCAGAUACUUGAUCAAUAUCUUUCGAGGUUAGAGAAUUAAUUUUGUGAACAGGUUAAACGAUUUCUCUAGGACAAACUCAGAUCUACCGUUACAAUCACUGCUUUUAGAUGUUCUUGGUAAUCGAUUGAACUGCCUUAACAUGGAAUUUUGUCCCAUGUAAACCCGGAUAUAAAACAGUUGAGGACUAUGAUUAAACCAAAGAUAAGUAUUGAAAUCAAUGUUAAGUUUAAACAGUUACAGGUUUUUAAGUUUACAAAACACUAAUACGAAUUUGUUUUUUGGUAGGCUGAUUGUGAAUUUUGGUUAAGAUGACUACACUUAGAAACUGGCAGACGAGUAAAGAAUACAUCAGCACUUGAUAUUUAAUAUAAAACUGUUGAGGACUACGAUUAAACCAAAGAUAAGUAUUGAAAUCAAUGUUAAGUUUAAACAAUUACGUGUUUUUAAGUUUACAAAACACUAAUACGAUUUUUUUUGUAGGCUGAUUCUGUUUUUAGAUUAUGAUGGCAGCACUUUCAAACUGGCAGUCGAGUAAAGAAUACAUCAUCACUUGAUACUUGAUGAUCCUGUUUUUCCAGUAAGAUGAUCAAAGUUACAAUUUGGAAAUGAAUCAAUGAAGAAGACAUCUAUACUUUAUAUUGGUCUUAAGAUCAGAGAGAUUUGUGAAAGCAUCAUUGGCGGCCAUCUCUUCUUAAAAGAUUAAAUGACGAAGUGAUAUGGAAAUUAUUUCCUUACAGCAAAUGAUUUUACAAUCCGGAUACUUUGACAAUUAUUUACUACCUUGUGUCUAAGAGCUCAUCCUCUAAUCGUUAUGGAAAAUGGAUUAUGGCAAAUAAACUGUUUGGAUACAUAUGUACCAUAUCAAAGAUCCGAAUAUGUUUAUUGCCAAACAGAGAGGAUCCGUGUGUUUUUACCUUCUAAGAUUACCUCUUUGUCUUCAAAUUUUUUUUCCUUUGUUCUUUGCUUUUUUA